GUGAGCUCAGACUCCAUAGCUCUCCUCUCUGAGGCAGAUGCAAUGAAGCUCCGACCCAAGAUGGACUUAGGCUAGAAUCUCCCUGGCAGAAAACACAGGCAGGCCCAGAGACCUAAGCCUAAGGAACCAUUAAGAGAUGGCUCGGCUGGUAAACCACUUGCUGAACAAGUGUGAAGAGUUGAGAUUCUCCAGGACCCAUAAAGCCAGGACUGUUGCACACACAAGCUCACAGCAGUUGUGACUGUGUGCACAAGACGGGCCCAAAUCAAGUCAGCCAAAAUCUCUGCCUGGAUGGAGGAGACGCCCAUGAAGUCCCACCCCUAACUGAGGAGCUGUUGGCAGCUGAUGGCUGCUCGGGGGAGGAAGAGGUUUCUUCGAGGGUAAGACCCUGGAAAAGCUCCAGGAGGGGCUCCUACACCUGUGUGCACACAGACAGCAUUAAGUAGGCUGCGUGCUUUUAAAAAACAGAGAGCGGGUUAAGUUGGCAGAGGAAACCAGUAAGGAGAAACUGGAGGAGAGAAGGGUUGAUUGAUAAAAAUGUAAUAUACGCCAUGUAUGAAAUUAUCAAAUAAUGAAAAAUUAAGUUUG